rnacentral:rRNA from 1 species
CCUACGGGAGGCAGCAGUGAGGAAUAUUGGUCAAUGGACGCAAGUCUGAACCAGCCAUGCCGCGUGCAGGAAGACGGCUCUAUGAGUUGUAAACUGCUUUUGUACGAGGGUAAACGCAGAUACGCGUAUCUGUCUGAAAGUAUCGUACGACUAAGGAUCGGCUAACUCCGUGCCAGCAGACGCGGUAAUACGGAGGAUUCAAGCGUUAUCCGGAUUUAUUGGGUUUAAAGGGUGCGUAGGCGGUCGGAUAAGUUAGAGGUGAAAUCCCGAGGCUCGACGUCGGAAUUGCCGCUGAUACUGUUCGGCUAGAGAGUAGUUGCGGUAGGCGGAAUGUAUGGUGUAGCGGUGAAAUGCUUAGAGAUCAUACAGAACACCGAUUGCGAAGGCAGCUUACCAAGCUACUUCUGACGUUGAGGCACGAAAGCGUGGGGAGCAAACAGGAUUAGAUACCCCAGUAGUC